GCAUGAGAAAUAUCAGUGUAAAGGAGGUGGGGACCAAAGAGUGAAAAUAAAAACUUAAAACAAAUGAUUGGGAAGAGAUUAAAAAAGUUGAAAGAAAAAAAGUCAAAAAGAAGGAUUGAACAUAAGCUUCACUCCCACACAGAGAAGUCAACAGUCCAACUAAUAUGGGGGUCCCCAAACUUUUUACACAGGGGGCUAAUUCACUGUCUCUGAGACCAUUGGAGGGCUGGACUAUAAAAACCUAACCCUAAACCUAACUCUAACCCUAAUAUCACUAGAAAGAACAAUUAGUAAAAAUUCUUAUGAGACUAAAACAAACAAAUUGCCAUUGCACUUGGUGAAUAACUGUCAAUAAUCAUUUAUUUAGCACCUACUUUAUACCAGAGACUGUACUUUAAAGGAAAAUAAGCUACAAGGGAAAAAGGAAACAUGGUCACCAAUUAUUCAUUUUUUCUAGAGAUCAAAGAACAACAACAACAAAUUACAAAAUGCUUCCAAAAAGGGCAGUAGAAAGGAAUGCUAAACCAAGAUAUAAGUGCUUUACAGAGCCUGCUUCUGCCACCUUCAUGGCCACUGGAACAAAUUGUUCUCAUCCAUCUAUUCUGCAGCAGGAAGACUUCACAUGACAACUUCUUGGAGCCACAGAAUCACCAAAGUCCAUGGCAAGACAAAAGUCAAGAUGAUUGGUUCAGUGUUUGA
rnacentral:lncRNA from 1 species